UGGUCGAUGAUGACGAGACCACUGCGCAAUCUGAGUUCCUGGGAACCAGGUGAUGGAGCGUGUUCUGAGAACCGACUGAGACCG
rnacentral:snoRNA from 1 species